rnacentral:rRNA from 1 species
GCCUUCGGGAACUGUGAGACAGGUGCUGCAUGGCUGUCGUCAGCUCGUGUUGUGAAAUGUUGGGUUAAGUCCCGCAACGAGCGCAACCCUUAUCCUUUGUUGCCAGCGGUUAGGCCGGGAACUCAAAGGAGACUGCCAGUGAUAAACUGGAGGAAGGUGGGGAUGACGUCAAGUCAUCAUGGCCCUUACGACCAGGGCUACACACGUGCUACAAUGGCGCAUACAAAGAGAAGCGACCUCGCGAGAGCAAGCGGACCUCAUAAAGUGCGUCGUAGUCCGGAUUGGAGUCUGCAACUCGACUCCAUGAAGUCGGAAUCGCUAGUAAUCGUGGAUCAGAAUGCCACGGUGAAUACGUUCCCGGGCCUUGUACACACCGCCCGUCACACCAUGGGAGUGGGUUGCAAAAGAAGUAGGUAGCUUAACCUUCGGGAGGGCGCUUACCACUUUGUGAUUCAUGACUGGGGUGAAGUCGUAACAAGGUAACCGUAGGGGAACCUGCGGUUGGA